GCUGGGCUCAGUAACUUGGGCCUGUGACCCAAGUGGGGGCAUUAAAGUGGGUUGGAAGGUGUUUUUGAGAGGGUAUUAGUCCGAUGUUGAAUUUCAUACACCUAAGGUGUGAAAUUGCGCUGGCUUUACCAGAGCAGCGUCUAAGCAUGAAUUUCAUACUUCACUAGAUAACAUCGGGUGGUACGCUGUCAAUCAAUCCCAACCGCCAUCUUU
rnacentral:SRP_RNA from 11 species